rnacentral:lncRNA from 1 species
UUUCCUCUAACUUCUUCAUGGUCACCAGUUUGUAACACUUCACCCUCUGGAGAAAUAACCGCCUGCUUCCUGUCAGUCUCAUUAAUACUCCCUUCAGUGAACUUCUGGCUGGUGCCCAGCUAGGGUGCUUUUCUUCAAACAGAGCCUGGCAAUAAUGAUAGACAUAACUGAUUGGACUAGGCUUAGAUUUUUCACCAGCUGGUUUCACAGCAAAGUCACACAGCAAGCCUGGAGGCCAGGUGCUGAUAACAGAUUCCUGUCUCUUUGAAAAGUAAAAAACUGGAAGUGUUAUGAAAUCUGGACUGGAUUGCCUGACAGAAGAACCAAGAGGCACUUGGAGAUCUUGGAGGAUUUAUUUAAAUGCCGAAAGAGAGCAAGCAUGAGUGGAAAUGAAGAGGCAGAGAGAGAGAGAGAAGCAGAUUCCCAGGAAAAAACCCAUUGCAAGUCUUCAUCCCAGGACCCCCGAGGAUCACGAGUUGAGUCAAAGGCAGAUGCUUAACCCACUGAGCCACCCAGCUGCCCCAAAAUGGUACUUAUGAGCCAUAAAAUUCCAAAGACUUACUUCAGAUGUGCCUGAAUAAGGAGGCACUUACCGCUGCAUGCCAACAGAAGCUUCUUUGCUUCCUGCUUAUGUGUAUGAAGUUAUGAGUUUGGGUCCAGGGCUUCUCAAAAUUAAAUAUGCAUAAAAAUCAAAUGGAAAUCAAUGGAAAACAAAUGUACUUUCAAUUUGGCUUACAAACGUCUAAAUAAAAGGUAUUUUGGGUUUUCCUGAAAUAUUACUGACUACAUAUAUCUGGAAAAAUAAAGAGCCAUAUCUUAUGAGGAAUAUUAACAAAAUACUAUUCUAAAAAGUUACUCUCAUCUAUUCAGUUCAUAUAGGGUAAGAAUUUCAAGGACAUUGGAAUCAUCCAUGAAUGUGCAGGAAGUUUCUCCACAGUCAACUUUUUUGUUAAAGUAAUAAAAAUAAUCUAUUGAUCCCUAUGAAAAAUCAUCUGAUAUAUAAAGAAUGACAAAUCUUCCUCUAUACUACUAUCCCCGGUGUUCUUUGGUUCUUUGUCCUUUCUCUCAUUGAAGAGUAGCAGUU